rnacentral:rRNA from 1 species
UUCCGUAGGUGAACCUGCGGAAGGAUCAUUCGCACAAAGAUAUGUUCUAUUCCACCCGCCACGCACCAUACAGUGCUUUCUGUUUUAUCAUCAGGAAAUUUAAUUUCCAACUCGUCGAUGUUGCGAUCUCAUUGCAAUGUAUGCGAUGUUAUCUAUCUCUUGCGACGACGAAUGCCUUGGCUCGAGGAUCGUUGAAGGACGCAGCGAACUGUGCUAAACAUCUCGAAUUGCAGAUUUCCGAGAAAGAAAAGGAUUCUGAACGCAUUCUGCGAGUUGAACUUGUUUCAGCUCACGUGAUUGACGGUGACCGAAAUAUGCAGUCGCUCGAACUCCGAAGUUCAAGUGGUGUUCACAUGUUGUCGCAAAGUUUUGCGCCGACGUGUUCGUGGAAUUCAGCGCGUCUCUCGUUUUCGAGUUGCAUUAUGAAUUCAUUUCAUUAUGUUCGAUUUCAUUGACGUGUCUCAGUUCUUCAUUUUUUGAAAACAUUUUUUUCCGCACGCUCACGAUCAGUCACGGGAUUACCCGCUGAAUUUAAGCAUAUCAA